CUGGUCUUCCUGUCAUAACAUACAUUACUUACCAUUUGCCCCAGGGCCUCCUCUGGGCUCCUGGUCUUCGAGUCCCAUAACCGUGCCAGGCCGUAGAAUGGGGUCCUGGUCUUUCCUUACAUAGUGGCAGGCUGUAGAAUGGGGUCCUGGUCUUCCUGUCAUGGACUAAUUGGGUCAUCCAACAUUCACCCACAUCAACAACAAUCGAUGCAAUGCGGCAUAUUCGUGAAACUAAUGCAAUCAUCCUAUUGCAUAAUAAUGAUGCAUGAAACAUGAUAAAACAUUUAAUUUAAAAGAUUAAGU
rnacentral:lncRNA from 1 species